UCCCUACAGAAACCCGCGGAAACACGAAAAAGACAAAAAAGCAGAUGUUAAUAAAAAAAGGCGAGAGAAAACGGCAGAAACAGAGGAAUUCGGAGAAAGACAGAGAGAGAAUAGUCGAGCGGAAAUGGGGAAUCGGAUUUCAAUGGUCGGGAAUCGGGCGAGUCGGGCAAUCGAGGAACGAUUCACGAAGCCGCACCGACUGGUCCGCGAGCCAUCGAACGUCGACUACAAGAAGCUCCGGAAGCUCAUCCUAUCUGAGAAGCUUGCGCCUUGCUUCGAUGGUGUAGAAGACUCCAACGCCGAUCUUGAAGAAUGCCCUAUCUGCUUCUUUUUCUAUCCGAGUUUGAACAGGUCGAGGUGUUGUAUGAAAGGAAUCUGCACUGAGUGUUUUUUACAGAUGAAGCCUUCCAAUGCGAUUGAUCGCCCUACUCAGUGCCCAUUUUGUAAAUAUUCCAGCUAUGCUGUUGAGUACCGCGGUGCAAAGACACAGGAAGAGAAGAGCCUAGAACAAGCUGAAGAACAAAAGGUCAUCGAGGCAAAAAAAAGGAUGCAAUCUCAAGACGUGGAUCGGGUCACACUGGCUGACCGUAUUUCUUCUGAUGUGGAAGCUCAAUCUGCAGUGCCAAGCUUCAGGGCACUCUCUAGUCGGAGUGGUGAUGCCAGGCACAUUAGAGACUCAGAGGUAUCUUUAGCGGGCGAAGGGAUGGCAGUGGCUCGAUCUCCGGUUGUAAAUGAUGGCAAUGGAAGGCAUGGAGAAUUGGAUCUAGAUCUUGAGGAUGUCAUGAUUACGGAAGCCAUUUGGCGAUCUAUUCAGGAUUUGGAUCCGUCUUGUGGACCAAGUGGCACAACUGAACCCGUAAGUUCAGCCCAUGGGUCAAAUCAAUGUGGGCCAUCUUCAGCAUUCAUCAAUCAAGGAGAAGCUUCUUCUGCAGAAUCGGUGACUGGAGGACUUGCGGUUGCAAUUGCAAGAAUGGCAGAGCGCAACAUUCAACGAUCAGAGUUGUUGCAGUUAAUCCGUGAGAACAACAACCAGACCGGUCAAGCAAUAGAUGGAGCGAUAGCUAUUGGCGCCUUUUCAGGUCUGGAACCCAGUGGAGCGCAAUCAGAAGAUGGAUGUUUGGGAAGUUCUUCUUCUACAACCGAGGAUGAUUCUUGGGGAUCGCUUGCAGCCCGUAUCUUAGAGGAGAAUCCAAGUUUGGAAUCUGGGUUUGCCUCUGAUGAAGAUCUAGUGAUGGAUGGUGCUGACAAUGAGUCUUCUUCUUCUAGCAGUGUUCACUCUCUCUCCGAUCCAUCCGGUGGAAGUUCAGAUUGUUCUGAUGAUGGGGCAGGUGCAAGCUGUUCUCAUCCUUCGGCCCCCUUUGCAGUCGAUCGGCCACUUAUCACGGUCUCCAACGCCACUGCAUGAGCUUAUUGGAGUAUUUGUAUCUGCUGCCUUGGGAUUUGUCACCAUGAAGGUGUGAAGCAAAGAUUUAUUAUAUGAUGGACCCAGGAGCUGCCGUCCUACCACCGGAGUUUCUAAAGCUGGAAAUGGGAAAGGUAUGGAUUCUCUGCUCAAUCAGUGUUCGAAUCUCAUGCAGCCGAUCUUGCCGUCUCUCUUUUUUUGGAUUGAUCGCCUAUUGCAUUGUGUUGCAAAUGGUACCAUGUGAUCAAGCAUUCAAAGGAAAGCAGCUGCGUGGUGUUUGUAUAUUCAAAAUUCACUAUCCGGCUUUUAUGUAUGAGUAUAUAGUUAUGUGAAUUCACUAUCCAAAUCAAUUGUUCAUCCAAACGCAGCCCAACUGUUUGUAUGAUUUCAGUAUGGAAUUGAAUCAAAGGAGAAAGCAUGCUCUAGGUGGUUGCAAUUUGAA